rnacentral:rRNA from 1 species
UACGUAGGGACCAAGCGUUGUUCGGAUUUACUGGGCGUAAAGGGCGCGUAGGCGGCUUAACAAGUCACUUGUGAAAUCUCCGGGCUUAACUCGGAACGGCCAAGUGAAACUGUCAAGCUAGAGUGCAGAAGGGGCAAUCGGAAUUCUUGGUGUAGCGGUGAAAUGCGUAGAUAUCAAGAGGAACACCUGAGGUGAAGACGGGUUGCUGGGCUGACACUGACGCUGAGAGACGAAAGCUAGGGGAGCGAAUGGG